rnacentral:rRNA from 1 species
GACGAACGCUGGCGGCGUGCUUAACACAUGCAAGUCGAACGAUGAUACCCUUCGGGGUGGAUUAGUGGCGAACGGGUGAGUAACACGUGAGUAACCUGCCCCUCCGUCUGGGAUAAGCCUGGGAAACUGGGUCUAAUACUGGAUAUUCCGCAAUUGUCGCAUGGUGGUUGUGGGAAAGAUUUAUUGUGGAGGGAUGGGCUCGCGGCCUAUCAGCUUGAUGGUGGGGUAGUGGCCUACCAUGGCGAUGACGGGUAGCCGGCCUGAGAGGGCGACCGGCCACACUGGGACUGAGACACGGCCCAGACUCCUACGGGAGGCAGCAGUGGGGAAUAUUGCACAAUGGGGGAAACCCUGAUGCAGCGACGCCGCGUGCAGGAUGAAGGCCUUCGGGUUGUAAACUGCUUUCAGCAAGGAAGAAGCGAAAGUGACGGUACUUGCAGAAGAAGCGCCGGCUAACUACGUGCCAGCAGCCGUGGUAAUACGUAGGGCGCAAGCGUUGUCCGGAAUUAUUGGGCGUAAAGAGCUCGUAGGCGGUCUGUCGCGUCUGGCGUGAAAACCCAUGGCUCAACUGUGGGCUUGCGUCGGGUACGGGCGGACUUGAAUACUGUAGGGGAAACUGGAAUUCCUGGUGUAGCGGUGGAAUGCGCAGAUAUCAGGAGGAACACCGAUGGGCGAAGGCAGGUCUCUGGGCAGUUACUGACGCUGAGGAGCGAAAGCAUGGGGAGCGAACAGGAUUAGAUACCCUGGUAGUCCAUGCCGUAAACGUUGGGCACUAGAUGUGGGGACUGUUGUGGUUUCCGUGUCGUAGCUAACGCAUUAAGUGCCCCGCCUGGGGAGUACGGCCGCAAGGCUAAAACUCAAAGGAAUUGACGGGGGCCCGCACAAGCGGCGGAGCAUGCGGAUUAAUUCGAUGCAACGCGAAGAACCUUACCAAGGCUUGACAUACACCGGAGGUCAGCAGAGAUGUUGGCGCCUUUUUGGCUGGUGUACAGGUGGUGCAUGGUUGUCGUCAGCUCGUGUCGUGAGAUGUUGGGUUAAGUCCCGCAACGAGCGCAACCCUCAUCCUAUGUUGCCAGCACGUGAUGGUGGGGACUCAUGGGAGACUGCCGGGGUUAACUCGGAGGAAGGUGGGGAUGACGUCAAAUCAUCAUGCCCCUUAUGUCUUGGGCUUCACGCAUGCUACAAUGGCUGGUACAGAGGGUUGCGAUAUCGUGAGGUGGAGCUAAUCCCUUAAAGCCAGUCUCAGUUCGGAUUGGGGUCUGCAACUCGACCCCAUGAAGUCGGAGUCGCUAGUAAUCGCAGAUCAGCAACGCUGCGGUGAAUACGUUCCCGGGCC